UGGUGUCUUGUCUCAUAUAAUCACACAGCAACAUUUAAAUCAUUUAGACUAAUGGAGUGUUUCCUGUUUGUAAUUUAUUCUGUCAAGUGUCCAUUUAAUUCAUCAAUAUAUUCAAUUUUAUAAAUAGCUGAACAUGUAUCUUAAGUUCCUCUAAGAGGGAAUUCAAACUCUUUGAGAUAAACAUUUUUUAAAGUGCUGUAAUAGUUACUUUGACUAGCAAUUACUUACUAGUUACAUUUUUGAAGAAUUCACUGGUAAGCGUAACUAAUUACUUCCUGCCGAACAUCGAUCCUCGCAAUACUUCAAAACUUUAAAAUGAAUUACACACUCUCAAUGUAAAAGCUUGAACUGAGUACCGGUACUAUUUUUUUUUUAACAGAUGAAAUAAAUGCAGAUCUUUAAAAUGUUUCCUCCUAGAGUCUGAGUGUGUGUGUGUGUGUGUGUGUGUGUGUGUGUGUGUGUGUGUGUGUGUGUGUGUGUGUGUGUGUGUGUGUGUGUGUGUGUGUGUGUGUGUGUGUGUGUGUGUGUGUGUAUCAGUUCAUUGAACACUACAGCUGCAUCUCCAAACAGUAAAAGUUCAAUACAAACUGAAACGCUUCAUUGAAUCUCAAAAUGACUUCAUUUCGAAAUUAAGGUCAGAAGUUUCUUUCCUGGUUUGAGGCGUUUUUACUUUGAUGCUGUGGAUUUAAAAACACAAACACACAAAAAAAAAAAACAGUUUGCAUUGUGAUUCUGCUCUGCGGUGAAAAAAGCCGGCUGGACGCUCCGUUCUGCAGCACGCCGCUCUAAACGCAUGUCAGGUUAUUCCGGCUCAGAACUCAGAAGCAGCUUGUAAAACACGCCGAGCCCUAAAAACGGCAGCAGGAACUCCUCCAGUCUGCACGUUCAUCCAGCGUCGAGGCGUCUGGAGCCGCGGCGGGUUCCACACUUCAGGCGGACCGCGGUCUGAGUCGGUUUGUCGGCAGACUGAGACCUGAUUUUCGGACUGUUUGCUUUUUGACGGACUGCACUAAAACUAAAACAACAACAACAGCAACAGGUCGACUGAAGCCUCCCGAGCUGGUGCCAAGAAAAAAAACAAGUAAACCUGUGAAAACACAUUUUAUCACAAGAUCAAAGACGUGUGCAUAUUCUGGAGGCAAAACCAAACAUCCAGAGUUCAGUAUUCAUUCAUCACAUCAGUUCAUUAGCAGCGUUUUUCACUGAAAUCAGGGUUUACAUGAGUCUGGAAUCCUGCGAUUCAUUUCAUCCAGACGAGCCGCAGCUGCGUGGGUCAGAGGUUAUUGUUUCACUCGUGUCCAUCAACUCAUUGCCUCUGGAGUUUUGGUGAUUGGACAGGAUUUCUCGGCUCUUCUGUGAAGCUUCUGCUGUUUCAUGUUGAAUUUGGUGCUUCAGUUCUCAGUGUUUUAUUUCGUUUCAGUGAAGAAUCUCUGUACGAACCUGAGGUGUAUUAAAGACGUGUAAAAGCAGCAGA